AUUGAACGCUGGCGGCAGGCCUAACAUAUGCUAGUCGAACGAGUGGCGGACUGGUGAGUAAUGUCUGGGAAGCUGCCUGAUGGAGGGGGCUAACUACUGGAAACGGUAGCUAAUACCGCAUACCAUCGGAUUUGCCCAGAUGGGAUCAGCUAGUAGGGGGGGUAAAGGCUAACCUAGGCGACGAUCCCUAACUGGUCUGAGAGGAUGACCAGCCACAAUGGAGAGGAGACACGGUACAGACUCCUACGGGAGGCAGCGAAGGGGAAUAAUGGACAAUGGGGGCAAGCCUGAUGCAGCCAUGCCGCGUGUAUGAAGAAGGCCUUCGGGUUGAAAAGUACAUUCAGCGGGGAGGCGUUACCCGCAGAAGAAGCACCGGCUAGCUCCGUGCCAGAAGGAGCGGUAAUUC
rnacentral:rRNA from 1 species